rnacentral:ncRNA from 2 species
UCUAGUUUUUUUGCGCCUAAAAUGUAUCGAGACUUAAGAAAUUUACCGAAGCGGCAAGUUUUAUUUAUAAUAAAACGGUAGCGGAACAUUCUGUAUGUUGAUAAAGAUAUGUUGUAAAAUAUAUUGAAGAUAUCAGAAAAGAAAAUGCUGGCAUUAGUAACAAAAAAUAAUGAAUAAGAAUCAUUAUCACCGUAAAUCCAAGGGUUUCUAUGUUAAAAUGUAUUUCAUAGAGUGAAACGGCCCCUAAGAAAGAUUUGACGAAAGCAAAUUUUGAUGGGAUAAUUUUUAAAUUAAAUUUUUUAAAAAAAGUGACAAAAAGUUUUACUUUUUCAGGAAAUAGCUUUUUUUAAAAAAAACCGUACCCUAAACCGACACAGGUGGAUAGGUCGAGUAGACUAAGGUGGAUGAGAGAAUUAUAUUGAAGGAACUCGGCAAAAUGACUCUGUAACUUCGGGAUAAAGAGUACCUAAAUAUUAUAUUUAGGUGUCACAAAAUAGGGGGUUGCGACUGUUUAAUAAAAACUUAGGACUCUGCUAAAUGGUAACAUGAUGUAUAGGGUCUGACACCUGCCCGGUGCUGGAAGAUUAAUAGGAGAUGUUUGCGCAUUGAAUGGAAGUCCCAGUAAACGGCGGCCGUAACUCUGACGGUCCUAAGGUAGCGAAAUUCCUUGUCGGGUAAGUUCCGACCUGCAUGAAUGGUGUAACGACAUCCCCGCUGUCUCCAAUAUAAACUCAGUGAAUUUGAAUUAUCCGUGAAGAUGCGGAUUCUCUAUAGUUAGACGGAAAGACCCCGUGAACCUUUACUACAUCUUUAUAUUGUUAUUUUAUCUAAUAUGUGUAGCAUAAGUGGGAAUCAAUAAGACCUUCACGCUAGUGAAUUGUUUAGAUAACAUUGAAAUACCACUCUUAUUAAAUAAAUAACUAAUAUUUUAUAAAUAGACAGUGUAUGGUGGUAGUUUGACUGGGGCGGUCACCUCCUAAAGAGUAACGGAGGUGUACAAAGGUAAGCUCAAAUUGGAUUAUAUUAUCAAUUGUAGAGCGCAAUGGUAUAAGCUUGCUUGACUGUAAGAUAGACAUAUCAAACAGGGACGAAAGUCGGUCAUAGUGAUCCGAUAAUUCUUUGUGGAAAGAUUAUCGCUCAACGGAUAAAAGGUACUCCGGGGAUAACAGGCUGAUGACUCCUAAGAGCUCCUAUCGACGGAGUCGUUUGGCACCUCGAUGUCGACUCAUCACAUCCUGGAGCUGAAGAAGGUUCCAAGGGUUCGGCUGUUCGCCGAUUAAAGUGGUACGUGAGUUGGGUUUAGAACGUCGUGAGACAGUUUGGUUCCUAUCUUCUAUAGAUAUUUUGAAAAAUGAAAGAAUCUAACUCUAGUACGAGAGGACCGAGAAGGGUAAAUCACUGGUGUAUCGGUUGUUUAAUAGGCAUCGCCGAGUAGCUAAAUUUAUUUUGGAUAAUUACUGAAAGCAUCUAAGUAAGAAACCAUUCUUAAAAAUUUUUCAUAUGAAAACUGUAAAAGACUAUUACAUUGAUAGGUUUUAAGUGUAAGUAUCGUAAGGUAUUCAGCUUAAAAAUACUAAAAGUUUCAAAAUUUUAAAUAU